UCUCCUGGAAACGGGUGGUAAUGCCGGAUGCUCCGCCCCCUCGCAUGGGGGGUCGGGAAGGCUUUUGCGGAAUGGGAUGGGGUCGCGUCCUAUCAGCUUGUUGGCGGGGCGACGGCCCACCAAGGCUUCGACGGGUAGCCGGCCUGAGAGGGCGACCGGCCACAUUGGGACUGAGAUACGGCCCAGACUCCUACGGGAGGCAGCAGUGGGGAAUAUUGCACAAUGGGGGGAACCCUGAUGCAGCGACGCCGCGUGCGGGAUGGAGGCCUCCGGGUCGUGAACCGCUUUUGAUUGGGAGCAAGCGUGAGUGAGUGUACCUUUCGAAUAAGCACCGGCUAACUACGUGCCAGCAGCCGCGGUAAUACGUAGGGUGCAAGCGUUGUCCGGAAUCAUUGGGCGUAAAGGGCUCGUAGGCGGUUCGUCGCGUCCGGUGUGAAAGCCCAUCGCUUAACGGUGGGUCUGCGCCGGGUACGGGCGGGCUUGAGUGCGGCAGGGGAGGCUGGAAUUCCCGGUGUAACGGUGGAAUGUGUAGAUAUCGGGAAGAACACC
rnacentral:rRNA from 1 species